AUUGAACGCUGGCGGCAGGCCUAACACAUGCAAGUCGAGCGGAUGAAGAGAGCUUGCUCUCUGAUUUAGCGGCGGACGGGUGAGUAAUGCCUAGGAAUCUGCCUGGUAGUGGGGGAUAACGUUCCGAAAGGAACGCUAAUACCGCAUACGUCCUACGGGAGAAAGCAGGGGACCUUCGGGCCUUGCGCUAUCAGAUGAGCCUAGGUCGGAGUAGCUAGUUGGUGAGGUAAUGGCUCACCAAGGCGACGAUCCGUAACUGGUCUGAGAGGAUGAUCAGUCACACUGGAACUGAGACACGGUCCAGACUCCUACGGGAGGCAGCAGUGGGGAAUAUUGGACAAUGGGCGAAAGCCUGAUCCAGCCAUGCCGCGUGUGUGAAGAAGGUCUUCGGAUUGUAAAGCACUUUAAGUUGGGAGGAAGGGCAGUAAGUUAAUACCUUGCUGUUUUGACGUUACCGACAGAAUAAGCACCGGCUAACUUCGUGCCAGCCGCCGCGGUAAUAC
rnacentral:rRNA from 1 species